UAGGGGGCCCACAAGCUUACCGAAAUCAGCCAAACUCCGAAUGCCGGUAAGUGAGAGCGCGGCAGUGAGACUGCGGGGGAUAAGCUUCGUAGUCGAGAGGGAAACAGCCCAGAUCACCAGCUAAGGCCCCUAAGCGUGUGCUAAGUGGAAAAGGAUGUGGGGUCGCAUAGACAACCAGGAGGUUGGCUUAGAAGCAGCCACCCUUUAAAGAGUGCGUAAUAGCUCACUGGUCAAGUGGUUCCGCGCCGACAAUGUAGCGGGGCUCAAGCACACCGCCGAAGCUGUGGCAUUCACAUUUUAACUUCGUGCCUCCUUGAUGGGGUAUGCAGGUGUGUGGAUGGGUAGGGGAGCGUCGUGCCGGGGGUGAAGCAGCGGGGUGACCCAGUUGUGGACGCGGCACGAGUGAGAAUGCAGGCAUGAGUAGCGAAAGAAGGGUGAGAAACCCUUCCGCCGGAUGACCAAGGGUUCCAGGGCCAGGCUAAUCCGCCCUGGGUGAGUCGGGACCUAAGGCGAGGCCGAGAGGCGUAGUCGAUGGACAACGGGUUGAUAUUCCCGUACCCGCGAAAGAGCGACCCUGACGAACCUCGUUGUGCUAACCACCCGAACUGCCGGCGGUCUUCGGACCAAUGGUGGGGAGCGUGGGAACCUGGCGGGUAGUAGUCAAGCGAUGGGGUGACGCAGGAAGGUAGCUGAGCCCGGCCGGUGGUUGUGCCGGGGUAAGCGUGUAGGCCGGCGUGUAGGCAAAUCCGCACGCCACAUAGGCUGAGACGUGAUGCCGAGCCGAUUCAGGUGAAGUCAGUGAUCCUAUGCUGCCGAGAAAAGCCUCUAGCGAGUUCUUAGCGGCCCGUACCCCAAACCGACACAGGUGGUCAGGUAGAGAAUACCGAGGCGAUCGGGCGAACUGUGGUUAAGGAACUCGGCAAAUUGCCCCCGUAACUUAGGGAGAAGGGGGGCCGGAGACGUGAAGCCCCGCGCGGGUGGAGCGUUGUAUGGCCGCAGAGAGCAGGGGGAAGCGACUGUUUACUAAAAACACAGGUCCAUGCGAAGAAGUAAUUCGAUGUAUAUGGACUGACGCCUGCCCGGUGCUGGAACGUUAAGGGGACCUGUUAGCUCUCACGAGCGAAGCGGAGAACUUAAGCGCCAGUAAACGGCGGUGGUAACUAUAACCAUCCUAAGGUAGCGAAAUUCCUUGUCGGGUAAGUUCCGACCUGCACGAAUGGCGUAACGACUUCCCCACUGUCUCAACCACAGGCCCGGCGAAAUUGCAUUACGAGUAAAGAUGCUCGUUACGCGCGGCAGGACGGAAAGACCCCGGGACCUUUACUAUAGCUUGACAUUGGUAUCUGAAUUAGCUUGUGUAGGAUAGGUGGGAGCCGGUGAAGUCCAUACGCCAGUAUGGGUGGAGGCAAUCUUGAAAUACCACUCUGGUUGAUUUGGGUAUCUAACUUCGGACCGUUAUCCGGUUCAGGGACAGUGUCUGGUGGGUAGUUUAACUGGGGCGGUUGCCUCCUAAAGGGUAACGGAGGCGCCCAAAGGUUCCCUCAGCCUGGUUGGCAAUCAGGUGUUGAGUGCAAGUGCACAAGGGAGCUUGACUGUGAGACUGACAGGUCGAGCAGGGACGAAAGUCGGGACUAGUGAUCCGGCACUGGCAUGUGGAAGCGGUGUCGCUCAACGGAUAAAAGGUACCCCGGGGAUAACAGGCUGAUCUUCCCCAAGAGUCCAUAUCGACGGGAUGGUUUGGCACCUCGAUGUCGGCUCGUCGCAUCCUGGGGCUGUAGCAGGUCCCAAGGGUUGGGCUGUUCGCCCAUUAAAGCGGUACGCGAGCUGGGUUUAGAACGUCGUGAGACAGUUCGGUCCCUAUCCGCCGUGCGCGUAGGAUACUUGAGAAGGGCUGUCCCUAGUACGAGAGGACCGGGACGGACGAACCUCUGGUGUGCCAGUUGUCCCGCCAGGGGCACGGCUGGUUAGCUACGUUCGGAAGGGAUAACCGCUGAAAGCAUCUAAGCGGGAAGCUCGCUUCAAGAUGAGGUAUCCCACCCACAUUUGUGGGGUAAGGCCCCCAGCUAGACGACUGGGUUGAUAGGCCGGAAAUGUAAGCCCGGUAACGGGUUCAGUUGACCGGUACUAAUAGGCCGAGGACUUGACUACU
rnacentral:rRNA from 1 species